UUCAUACAUUGACCGACUCAAAGUUGAAUAUGAAUUAACCGACAGUAGCUCAUCAUGUAAUUAUAAGUUAUAAAUUUUUGUAUAAAACAUAUAAAACAGCCAAAUAACUAUAAUGUAAAUAGUGCAAGAAAUAGAAUGUUAGAAUAUAGAACGCUAUACUAAUGCAGUUUCUUUUACGUCCCUCGAGAGCAACGACAGGGGAAACGAUUUGUUCUUGAAACAGGGAGCAAUGUAAAAAUACAUAGAAUUACUUUAUAAUGAAAAAAAUUCCUUUUUAUUUUAAAAGUAUAAAAGAGAAGCGUCGAAUAGGGAACGAGAUGACAAAUUCUGCAUAUGAUGAGAACGGUAAGGAAUUUGAAGUUGAACACAUACACAAAAGUGUAUUCAGAA